UAUGCUUUAGUAUAUGACGUAUAAAAGCUUUUGAUGCUUGAGGAACUAGUUUAAUUCUAGUAGGCGUAG
rnacentral:tRNA from 1 species